AAGAAAAUUACAUACAUUUCAAUGAUUUCAGAGCAUUACCUGUUUUCAGUGCUUUUUUGUUUUCUGUUUGUUUCAAGAGAUUUACAUAUAAUUUAAAGUCAUUUAUAAAAUGUGCAAAAUUUGGUUUACAUUGAGCCCACUUUUUCUUAUGUAUAUGGAAUUUUCCUAACAAAAUAAACAACUGCAUAAUAUGUUGUUCUUUACAAUUCAAAUUUUUGUUUUCUGUAUAAAAACAUUACAUCAAAUAUACAAAAUUCUAUCAUACAUUCCAUUUUUCUGUUAAUAUAGAAUUCCAAAUCUUUCCAAAAUAAUCUUGAGUAAAUACAAUAAUAAAAAAAAAAAGAUGUAAAAUAGUUUCUUUUUCUUGACCACAAAAUUCACAGGUAUAUGAAAUAUUAAGCUUAAAUCUUUUCAAAACAUGCUUAGCAGGAUAAAUUCUAUGGUCUCGCGCUUUGUGGCGCCAAUUCCCGCACAGUGACGUCACGCCAGUCGCUCAGGCCUCAGUUCAGUCUAGUCGUGGAGUCGUGUUUUUACCUGGGCGACAGGAAUCAUCAUGCAACACCAGGAGCAUCACAUCAUGUUCAUGGACUUCUGUGAGGACGGACACUGUCUCCUGGAGGACGACGUCAGUAUUUCAGAUGCUUUUUGUUGUUCAGAUCCAUUCAGACUGUAAAGUCAUCCUGAUUCAUGUUUCCAGACCUUUGACUUUUAGUAUGAUUUGCUUUGUAUGAUUGCAGUAUAUAUGUAUUUAAAUAUUAUAUUUAGAGUAUUUAACUUAAUAUUUCAGUAAUUCAACAACACAUUUGUGUGUACGUGGUUCAAUUAUAUAUUUUAAUCAGCCUUAAUUCAAUAAUGUGUUUUCAUCAGCCCUGUAUUAUUGGUUUAAAAUGACGUAAAUAUGAAUAAGUUAUGAAAGUUGUAAUUUUUGGGCAAACUAUUCCUUUAAAAUACACUGGUUAGAGUGAACCUUUUUUUUUUUUUCAGCCAAACCUAAAAUAUUUAUUUGAAUUUAUUUGUAUUUACAUUUAAGAGUUUUUAAUUUAAUAUUUAAUUUCACGGUUCUCUGAUGUCGGUCAAUGAUAUGCAGCGUAACAACUGAAUUAUUUCAUCUUUUUUGUUUUUCAGAAAAUAUUUAAUUUAUUUGUUUCUUUAUUAUUAAUUUAUAUUUUUAUCAUUUAAUUAAUCAAUUAUUAACUUUUCAUCAACCCUGUCCUAUGGGUUUGAAACGGCGUGAGGUUUUUAAAUUAAUAUUUCAAUAACAGUACAUUUGCAAGUUCAUAGUAAAUGACGAGCCGGUAAACAAAGUAUUAAAAACAUUUUUUAGAAAGUGUAAAAUUUAGAAUUUAUUAUUUGUUUAUUUAUUUAUUUAGCAUUUUUAUGAUGUAAUGAAUUCUUCUUUUUUAGAAAGUGUUUAAUUUAGAAUUUAUUUUUAUUUAUUCUUUAUUUAUUUAUUUAGCAUUUUUAUGAUUUAAUCAAUUGUUCUUUUUUAGAAAGUGUUUAAUUUAGAAUUUAUUUUUUAUUUAUUCUUUAUUUAUUUAUUUAGCAUUUUUAUGAUUUAAUCAAUUCUUCUUUUUUUAAAAAGUGUUUAAUUUAGAGUAAUUUUUUAUUUAUUCUUUUUUUAUUUAUUUAGCAUUUUAAUGAUUUAAUCAAUUCUUCAUUUUUAGAAAGUGUUUAAUUUAGGAUUUAUUUUUUAUUUAUUCUUUGUUUAUUUAUUUAGCAUUUUUAUGAUUU
ensembl:lncRNA